GGGUAGUUAGCUCAGCGGAAGAGCACCCGUCUCACACGCGAGUGGCCGCAGGUUCGAGCCCUGCACUACCCA
rnacentral:tRNA from 1 species